AGUCCAGAAGGACUAUUUUUCCUACCAUAUUAAUGUGACUGGAUGGGAAAUUCAACAAUAAUCCAUCCCUGCCAUGUGCUGUUUUAAAAAGGCCUGGUCCCACCUCCCCAGGCAGAGGGCUAGGUGUAGGACUCAGACCCACAAAGCUUCACCCAGCACCAGGCAGAGAAUUGCAUCAAGGAUGGCUGUGGGUGCAGGGAAUCUUCCUUCUUCAGAUCUCAGGUGUUUACAACCCCCAUGUAAUUCAAGAACUGCUGAGGCUGUAUUUGCUAUAAUUCAGGAAAAGCCUGCCUGUGACAAGAGGAAAGCAAAACAAAUGAUUAAGACAAAGAGAACAGAAUACUUUGAGCUCUGAAUCAGCCAAAUCUGAACCAUCUCCUUGGACAUCGG
rnacentral:lncRNA from 1 species